UCUGCAUUCCUAAGGACCUCUCAGGUAACCCAAUGUUGCUGCAUCUCAGCCAGAACGUGAAUAGCAAUGAUUGAAGGGCUUUCUCUUGAAAAAGACCACGCUCCUUCCUUAAGUUUUGCUGUAUUUGUAGACCGAUGGAGAAGGAAGCUGCCUUGCUCCUAACAAAGAGGCCUUAGUCUUGAUUAGGAAACUGAAGUGCCUCAGGUCCCCUCAAUUGACGUUGCUGCCGGAACAAAUGCAUUUUCUCAGGGAGAAGUUGCAGGAGAAACAUUUACUCUAUAUUCUGAAGCUUUCACUGAAAUUAUGAUGAGUAUUACAUUGAAAAUAACUAAGUUUGGAUCCUUCAAUUUAACAUUGAAGACAUAUCACAAUAGUGGAUAUGAAGUGGAUGACCAACAAUAACCACAUAUAAGAUUUCAGAGGAGGAAAAGAUUAUCUCGACUCUCAUGGAGAAGUAAAG